rnacentral:tRNA from 1 species
GAGCCGGUAGCUCAGCUGGUAGAGCAACUGACUUUUAAUCAGUAGGUCCAGGGUUCGAAUCCCUGCCGGCUCACCA